UACGAAGGGGGCUAGCGUUGCUCGGAAUCAUUGGGCGUAAAGAGCUCGUAGGCGGUUUGUUGCGUCGGCUGUGAAAUCCCGAGGCUCAACCUCGGGUCUGCAGUCGAUACGAGCAAACUAGAGUGUUGCAGGGGAGACUGGAAUUCCUGGUGUAGCGGUGAAAUGCGCAGAUAUCAGGAGGAACACCGGUGGCGAAGGCGGGUCUCUGGGCAACAACUGACGCUGAGGAGCGAAAGCGUGGGGAGCGAACAGG
rnacentral:rRNA from 1 species